GGACCGUCCGCCCCCGCUCUGUGUCUGCACCUCCACUGGGCUGAGCCCCUCCCGGGCCCUGCAGUCCAGCUCUGGCCAGGGUCGUCUGGGUCCGUGGGGGCGUCGGCCCCUGGUCUCUGACUCGAUCCUGUGUCCAGAGCAGCGCGUGGGGAACAGGCAGCUGGAGCCGCGUUUAACGCCUGGGGUAGGGUGCUUGGAAGCGUGAAGUGGUUUGAAUGACCCAGGGGCUUGGAGGGGUGGCGGCCGAGAAGAGCGGCAGGGAAGGUCAGGUAGGGGGUAGGGGUUGUGUGCACACCGAGUCUGCGUGUUUUCCAUCAUUCGUGGCGUGCAGGCGUGUACACCUGCGUGAACUACAUGUUCACAGACGUGUGCACAAGUGUGCAUCGGCUUUGCUUGGUGGACAUUUGGCAAACGACAAUGGAGGCAAAGAAACCUCUCUGCAUCCCCAAGUGCGCACCUGCGUGAGGCCCCCUCCUCUGCACGAGCUCGUGCGGGGUGCGCUCUUGUGAACUUUGCCCCUCUGCGUGCCUCCCUCCGGACACCAGGCCUUGCACAGGACGCGUGGAUGAACUGUGCCACGGGGCUGUGCUUGCUUCUGCAUGUAGCCUGCCGAUGCGUGCACGCAAGCGUGUGCACACACCACCUGUCUGUGUGGGUUCACGUACUGUGUUAGCCAUGUCAGCAACAGACACAUCAGCUUGUACACGCGUGUUCCAUCACUAGGUACACAUGUUGAUGCGUGCCUGUGCAGUGUCUCCUUGAACACACAUGUAUGUGUGGUACCAGUGUGUGCAGCCAUGUUUGUGCAUGAACGUUUGCACAUGUGUGCUUGAUUGUGUAUGUGUGGGUGUGCGUGCGCGCGCUGGGUCUCUUGGGAUCUGCUGGCAAGUCAGCCUGUGUGGGGGCACGGGGAGCCUCCGUAUCCCUGGAGCCCUCACCAGGAGGCCUCAGGAGCCUUGGAGUGGGAGGCUCAGGGCCAGCCAGGAGAGUGGCCCCCAGCCCUGGGCAGAGGAACUGGGGCCAUCCUCUGCUCUCCCAUCUUCUGUUGCUGACCUGGGAAAAGGGGUUGAAUAACUUGAGCACCCUAGGAUCCUGCAUUGAGGACCUGGGCUGUGGGGAGGCGUGGGCAUGGCCUCCCUGCUGGGGGCUGGGCCCUGGCUGAAGCACCCACCUUCUCCCUGGCCCCUCCCUCAGAAGCCUAAUGGACUUCCGCCUGCACGCAGACGGCCCUGUACUGCCCUCUCCCAGUCGGGUGGGGGUGCUGGAACCCACUCACCUCUGGGCCUUCUCUCUGGUAACCGGCUCUCAUGGGAGCCUGUUACAGGAGCCAGUUAUGGGGGCUGUGGGGCUGCACUAGGUGCCGUAGAGCGACUGCCCUGGGAAAGUGCCUCACCCCUGUGGGGCAUGGACUGGAGUGGGGAGAUGAGAAUGGCCUGGCCCAGCGGGUUUUGGGGUUAGGCUGUGAUUUAACUGGGGUUCGAGGGGCUCCCUGAGGCUGUCCUGGGGGCGGGCCCUAAGGGUGUAACUUGAGUUUCCUGGCCUACCGCCAGGUUGGGGGGCCAGGCAGGGUGGGCGGGAAGAUGUGGUCUGUAACGUGGAGCCUGGUCGCCCCAGCCCUGGAGAGGGGGACCCUGCCCGCACCCUCCUGGUCUGGGGAGGGCCUAGUGGCAGCCCAGGUGCAGUGGGCCGGAGGCCAGGGGAGCCCGUGUAGGGGAACCGCCUGGCCUCUGUUCAGUGUGCCCCUCCCCUGGGUGGGGCUUCAGGCGCUGAGUCACGGCUUUGGUUGGGGGGCAGCCUCACUCUCCUCCCCAUCCUCCAAGCUGCUGAGGAAAUCCUGGGCUGAGCACAGCAGAGGAGGCCUAGGUCCCCAGGACUGAGGAAGGGAGAGCUGAGGGGCUCCCAGCAGUGGGAGCGGCUCUCGGGGCCUCUGCCAGGGCCCACCCUGUCCCCAUGUGCACGUCCGUGAGCUCCUGGGUGCAGCCACCCCCCCCCUGCUGGCUCUCCAGGGACACGGGCGCCCCAAACCCGAGGGCGGCAGCUCUGGGUGCAGCUGUCUCUGCAUCCGGCCCUGCUCAGGGGUGGCUGCAACUCCUGGGGUGUGGCGCUCUCUGCUGCCUUCUCCUGGGAGGAUGGUCCCUUCUCUGUUCUGGGAUCCUCCAGCUGAGGUAGAGGUCAGAGUCCAGGGGCUGCAGGCCGGGCGCUGGCGGUCAGCGGACACCACAGCGAGAUUCCCUCCAUCGCCCCUGCUUCGGGAUUCAGAGUCCUCUUAGCCCCUUGGGAACAAGUGAGGGCUGCUCAGAGAGGACCUAGUGUCCUGCUGGGGUGGCUGGGACCCUUCAAGGUCCCUGGCUGGGGCAGCCUGGUGCCUGCAGCUCCAGCUCCUAAUUGAGGACACGCCCCAUGUAAACCACAGGCCCCUCCCCCGAGGCCUGGGACACCGGUCAGGGUAGCAAGGUACGAGGGACUGUAGGCCCUGAUGGCCUCUGCUCCUGGACCCCUGCCCUAGACCUGUCCCUGGAGUCCUGGCCCCAGCCCGGGCCCUGUGGUGUCCAAUCCCCAGGAGGCCAGAUGGCCCGGACAGCCAGUGAGCCGAUUGUGUGGAGGGCUGCCGGGAUCCUGGCCCUGUUUCCCUGUUGCCUGCUCCCGGAGGGGGUGGUCACAUGCCCGAUCCAUCUGCCUCCUGUCUUCCGGGGAUUCUCCCGCCGAGGCUUCUCUGGUGAUGUCAUGCCUUAACUCUUCUCUCCCCAGGCAGCCCCACUGUCAGGCUGUCCUGGUGGGAGUGGGCUCUGAGGAGGACGGCCUACCCGUCUUUCCAGUGGACCGUGCCGCUUGCAGCUGUGAGGGCGACCAUUGACGAGGUGGAGACGGACGUGGUGGAGAUUGAGGCCAAACUGGACAAGGUGAAGGGCGGGCCUGGAGCGCCCUGUGCCCGGCCAGGCUUGGGAUGGCCGCAUGGCCGGACUCGCUCUCCAGCCCUUACUAAGCCACUUACACCCCCCAUAUGUGGAGCACGCGUGUGGUGCUCCAGGCCCCUGUGUCUUAGCAUGUGUGUUCCAGGGUGCACAUGUCACAUGCACACAUGUGGCUGGCCCUGAGUCUCGUCCCAUCUGGGAGGGGCUGGG
rnacentral:lncRNA from 1 species